rnacentral:misc_RNA from 1 species
GAAAUGCGAUAAGUAGUGUGAAUUGCAGAAUUUAGCGAAUCAUCGAAUCUUUGAACGCACAUUGCGCCCCUUGGUAUUCCAUGGGGCAUGCCUGUUCGAGCGUCAUUUCAACCCUCAAGCACUGCUUGGUGUUGGGCGUUUGUCCCGCCUACGCGCGUGGACUCGCCUCAAAGUCAUUGGCAGCUGUUUCCCUUCGGCUCGUAAGCGCAGCACAGUCGGCGCCCGGAGCUCUGGUGGGAUGGCGUCCAGCAAGCUAUAUUUUCAGGCUUGACCUCGGAUCAGGUAGGGAUACCCGCUGAACUUAAGC